GAAAGCCGUAUGAGGGAAAACCUCACGUACGGUUUGAUGAGGAGGGGCUGAAUUUAUUCAGCCCUUUACUCUAGC
rnacentral:ncRNA from 1 species